rnacentral:rRNA from 1 species
GUGGGGAAUUGUUCGCAAUGGGCGCAAGCCUGACGACGCAACGCCGCGUGGAGGAUGAAGGUCUUCGGAUUGUAAACUCCUGUUGAUUGGGACGAAUGUCCCUGGGGCUAACACCACCAGGGAGUGACGGUACCGAUUGAGGAAGCCCCGGCUAACUCUGUGCCAGCAGCCGCGGUAAUACAGAGGGGGCGAGCGUUGUUCGGAAUUACUGGGCGUAAAGGGCGCGUAGGUGGCCACCUAAGUCAGACGUGAAAUCCCUCGGCUCAACCGGGGAACUGCGUCUGAUACUGGGUGGCUUGAAUCCGGGAGAGGGAUGUGGAAUUCCAGGUGUAGCGGUGAAAUGCGUAGAUAUCUGGAGGAACACCGGUGGCGAAGGCGGCAUCCUGGACCGGUAUUGACGCUGAGGCGCGAAAGCCAGGGGAGCAAACGGGAUUAGAAACCCCAGUAGUCC